rnacentral:lncRNA from 1 species
GGCUGACCGAGCCAUACACACAUUUGUAGCUCUUCGCGAUAUAUUCGUCGAUGUUUUGUGAACAUUUUCCCGGCCAAAAAGUCACUGGGCAAGAAAAUACUUCUUUAUCUACGUCUACAUUACCUUUACUGCAUUUUUUCUUUGGUUUUUCUUCAGUCUCAGUAUGUUAGUCACCGAAAAAGUUCUUUAAAGUUUAGGUUUAUCGGCUAAAUCUUGUCCGCCAUAUUUGUUAUUGUUAUUGCAACGUAAGCAGUUUAGCGGGUGAGUUCGGGCGAAAAGCAGGUGAGUUCGGCAAAAAGCAGGUGAGCUCGACGACAAGCUCACCUGCUCUAAACCAAUCAGAAAGCCGCUUUUAACACAGGUAUGGGAUAAGUUGCAAGGUUGUUCCAACAAGUCUGAUACA